UACAGUCAGGCGCCAUCUAACGAGUCACGGUCCAUGUGCAGUCGGAGGGUAUGUCGGAGGGGAGGACCGUCGCCGCAGGGACCACACAUACUCCAGUGAUCCAGUCCAAUCAACGUCGUCACAGGGACCAACUGUCAGGAAAAAGGAACCAAAGAAAUAUCAAACAAAAAACAUGUUAGUCUCCGCCAGCUUCGUCUCGCAAGACGUGAUUGACUCAUCUGUUCCGUGUGUUUUGGAGCAUUCUACGUGCUUACAAUUAGGUCUUAGUCUGUAUGCCACCGAAAAGUCAUUACAAGUUGCCGUUGGGCGUCUCAGAUCGUCUUCAUUCGCUCUUUUGUUCAAAUCGGGGAUUAACAAUGGUGGAUCGUUACCACCGUCUCUAUUGGGAAUAGCAUGAUCUACCUUAUGACAUUUUCUAAAGUAAGUGCAGGCAAUGGAGCCCUUUUCAUGUCCAUUCUUCCUGUGCUUCAUCUUGGGAAUGAUCCAACAGGUGGUCGUUUCAACAGUGGGUCAUUCCAACAGUGGCCUGAAGUUGUGUUAAUGACAUUCCUAUUGGUUGUGAUACUGAUGACAUCAUAGAUGAACAUUGUAUCAGCCAAUGAGAAUUGAACUUGAUGAUUGUGCACUGAGUCGAAACAAAGCA